AACGAACGCUGGCGGCAGGCCUAACACAUGCAAGUCGAGCGAGAACUUCGGUUCUAGCGGCGGACGGGUUAGUAACGCGUGGGAAUAUGCCCUUCACUACGGAAUAGUCCCGGGAAACUGGGUUUAAUACCGUAUACGCCCUUCGGGGGAAAGAUUUAUCGGUGAAGGAUUAGCCCGCGUUGGAUUAGGUAGUUGGUGGGGUAAUGGCCUACCAAGCCGACGAUCCAUAGCUGGUUUGAGAGGAUGAUCAGCAACACUGGGACUGAGACACGGCCCAGACUCCUACGGGAGGCAGCAGUGGGGAAUCUUAGACAAUGGGGGCAACCCUGAUCUAGCCAUGCCGCGUGAGUGAUGAAGGCCUUAGGGUUGUAAAGCUCUUUCAGCUGGGAAGAUAAUGACGGUACCAGCAGAAGAAGCCCCGGCUAACUCCGUGCCAGCCGCCGCCGUAACAC
rnacentral:rRNA from 1 species